rnacentral:sRNA from 1 species
AUUCCGGGGGAAUAACUCUAAGAGAUCACUCCAAACGCGGGUGAACGUUACAAACUGUUGCCUCGGCGGGAUCUCUGCCCCGGGUGCGUCGCAGCCCCGGACCAAGGCGCCCGCCGGAGGACCAACCUAAAACUCUUAUUGUAUACCCCCUCGCGGGUUUUUUUUAUAAUCUGAGCCUUCUCGGCGCCUCUCGUAGGCGUUUCGAAAAUGAAUCAAAACUUUCAACAACGGAUCUCUUGGUUCUGGCAUCGAUGAAGAACGCAGCGAAAUGCGAUAAGUAAUGUGAAUUGCAGAAUUCAGUGAAUCAUCGAAUCUUUGAACGCACAUUGCGCCCGCCAGUAUUCUGGCGGGCAUGCCUGUCCGAGCGUCAUUUCAACCCUCGAACCCCUCCGGGGGGUCGGCGUUGGGGAUCGGCCCUCCCUCUGCGGGUGGCCGUCUCCGAAAUACAGUGGCGGUCUCGCCGCAGCCUCUCCUGCGCAGUAGUUUGCACACUCGCAUCGGGAGCGCGGCGCGUCCACAGCCGUUAAACACCCAACUUCUGAAAUGUUGACCUCGGAUCAGGUAGGAAUACCCGCUGAACUUAAGCAUAUCAAAAGCCCGGAGGA